UACGGAGGGUGCAAGCGUUAUCCGGAUUCACUGGGUUUAAAGGGUGCGUAGGCGGGCAGGUAAGUCCGUGGUGAAAUCUCUGAGCUUAACUCAGAAACUGCCAUGGAUACUAUUUGUCUUGAAUAUUGCGGAGGUAAGCGGAAUAUGUCAUGUAGCGGUGAAAUGCUUAGAUAUGACAUAGAACACCAAUUGCGAAGGCAGCUUACUACACAGUUAUUGACGCUGAGGCACGAAAGCGUGGGGAUCAAACAGG
rnacentral:rRNA from 1 species